rnacentral:tRNA from 1 species
GUGGUGGCUCAGUGGUAGAGCACUUGCCUAGCAUGUGCAAGGCACUGGGUUCGAUUCUCAGCAUCACA